rnacentral:rRNA from 1 species
AGGGUGACAGCCCCGUACACAAAAAUGCACAUACUGUGAGCUCGAUGAGUAGGGCGGGACACGUGGUAUCCUGUCUGAAUAUGGGGGGACCAUCCUCCAAGGCUAAAUACUCCUGACUGACCGAUAGUGAACCAGUACCGUGAGGGAAAGGCGAAAAGAACCCCGGCGAGGGGAGUGAAAAAGAACCUGAAACCGUGUACGUACAAGCAGUGGGAGCCUCUUAAUGGGGUGACUGCGUACCUUUUGUAUAAUGGGUCAGCGACUUAUAUUCUGUAGCAAGGUUAACCGAAUAGGGGAGCCGAAGGGAAACCGAGUCUUAACUGGGCGUUAAGUUGCAGGGUAUAGACCCGAAACCCGGUGAUCUAGCCAUGGGCAGGUUGAAGGUUGGGUAACACUAACUGGAGGACCGAACCGACUAAUGUUGAAAAAUUAGCGGAUGACUUGUGGCUGGGGGUGAAAGGCCAAUCAAACCGGGAGAUAGCUGGUUCUCCCCGAAAGCUAUUUAGGUAGCGCCUCGUGAAUUCAUCUCCGGGGGUAGAGCACUGUUUCGGCAAGGGGGUCAUCCCGACUUACCAACCCGAUGCAAACUGCGAAUACCGGAGAAUGUUAUCACGGGAGACACACGGCGGGUGCUAACGUCCGUCGUGAAGAGGGAAACAACCCAGACCGCCAGCUAAGGUCCCAAAGUCAUGGUUAAGUGGGAAACGAUGUGGGAAGGCCCAGACAGCCAGGAUGUUGGCUUAGAAGCAGCCAUCAUUUAAAGAAAGCGUAAUAGCUCACUGGUCGAGUCGGCCUGCGCGGAAGAUGUAACGGGGCUAAACCAUGCACCGAAGCUGCGGCAGCGACACUAUGUGUUGUUGGGUAGGGGAGCGUUCUGUAAGCCUGCGAAGGUGUACUGUGAGGUAUGCUGGAGGUAUCAGAAGUGCGAAUGCUGACAUAAGUAACGAUAAAGCGGGUGAAAAGCCCGCUCGCCGGAAGACCAAGGGUUCCUGUCCAACGUUAAUCGGGGCAGGGUGAGUCGACCCCUAAGGCGAGGCCGAAAGGCGUAGUCGAUGGGAAACAGGUUAAUAUUCCUGUACUUGGUGUUACUGCGAAGGGGGGACGGAGAAGGCUAUGUUGGCCGGGCGACGGUUGUCCCGGUUUAAGCGUGUAGGCUGGUUUUCCAGGCAAAUCCGGAAAAUCAAGGCUGAGGCGUGAUGACGAGGCACUACGGUGCUGAAGCAACAAAUGCCCUGCUUCCAGGAAAAGCCUCUAAGCAUCAGGUAACAUCAAAUCGUACCCCAAACCGACACAGGUGGUCAGGUAGAGAAUACCAAGGCGCUUGAGAGAACUCGGGUGAAGGAACUAGGCAAAAUGGUGCCGUAACUUCGGGAGAAGGCACGC